UCCGCAUUAUUUGGAUUAGGUG
rnacentral:miRNA from 1 species